UUCCAGGGAGGUGUGGUGAAGGGAGCCCUUGCGAGCAGCUCUGCCGGGAGCUCCACGACGGCACGUACGAGUGCGGCUGCGGCCCUGGGUUUGUUCUCCACGUCGAUGGCUACGGCUGUCUUGAGCUUAACGCAACAAAAACAACAGACCCGUCAACCGACACAGAAGAAGAUGUGUUAUAUCAGAAAGACGUUUCUUUCUCCGCCGAGCUAGAAGUGGCUCCGUCCAAUAGGAAUAAGUCUACUCUAAGAGAUAAACAUAUCGAGAAACAAACAGCACUGCCAGAGAAACAAAACUAUACGUAUACUGGCGAGAGGAGUAAAGAAGUUGACGGAUUGAAAAGUUUGAUAGAAGAUGGUGUUAGUAAGAUCGAUAUUAACAUCAUAGCUGACGGGCACGAGUUUGAAGCUAGUGAAUUGAAGGUGACGACGCUUGGGCCCAGUUUAGAACAAAAGGUACCCGGCGCAACUGUGUCACCCCCAUGGACGGCCGCGGUGGAAACCUGCGAUUGUGGCUGUGACAGUCGUUGUUCCUGCCCUCUACCAUCGAAAUGCAAAUCAG